rnacentral:rRNA from 1 species
AGAAUCAACGCUGGCGGCGUGCCUAACACAUGCAAGUCGCACGAGAAAGGGACUUCGGUCCUGAGUAAAGUGGCGCACGGGUGAGUAACACGUGAAUAAUCUACCUCCGAGUGGGGAAUAACUGAGAGAAAUCUUAGCUAAUACCGCAUAACACUUACGAGUCAAAGCAGCAAUGCGCUUGGAGAGGAGUUCGCGGCCGAUUAGUUAGUUGGCGGGGUAAUGGCCCACCAAGACGAUGAUCGGUA